ensembl:lncRNA
CCCUGAUGGCAUUUCCAGUGCUGUGCUAGGUCAAACACAAACAUGACUGGGAAGGGGGGAAGUCUCACAUUUCAUGCUCAGUUGUACAGACUAAAGAAGUAUGCUGGUAUUGUGGCUUCUGUGGCUUUUUAUUUUUUUUUAAGUUAGUUGAGUACAAGUUUGGCCAGGGUAUGUAUUCAUGAAAAGUGCUAAAGGAUCUCUACCUGUUCCUGUGACAUGGGGAUGAGAAAGACCAGUUCUCCCUGUUGCCAGCAACCAACCUAUCAAAAGGAUGGAGACAGGAGUGAACCAGGACCUAUAAAAUGCACAUGGGAAGCC